AUUGAACGCUGGCGGCAUGCCUUACACAUGCAAGUCGAACGGUAACAGGUCUUCGGAUGCUGACGAGUGGCGAACGGGUGAGUAAUACAUCGGAACGUGCCUAGUAGUGGGGGAUAACUACUCGAAAGAGUGGCUAAUACCGCAUGAGAUCUACGGAUGAAAGCAGGGGAUCGCAAGACCUUGUGCUACUAGAGCGGCCGAUGGCAGAUUGGGUAGUUGGUGGAAUAAAAGCUUACCAAGCCGACGAUCUGUAGCUGGUCCGAGAGGACGAUCAGCCACACUGGGACUGAGACACGGCCCAGACUCCUACGGGAGGCAGCAGUGGGGAAUUUUGGACAAUGGGCGAAAGCCUGAUCCAGCAAUGCCGCGUGCAGGAUGAAGGCCUUCGGGUUGUAAACUGCUUUUGUACGGAACGAAAAGCCCCGGGUUAAUACCCUGGGGUCAUGACGGUACCGUAAGAAUAAGCACCGGCUAACUACGUGCCAGCCGCCGCCGUAA
rnacentral:rRNA from 1 species